rnacentral:rRNA from 1 species
AUUGAACGCUGGCGGCAGGCUUAACACAUGCAAGUCGAGCGGAGAUGAGGUGCUUGCACCUUAUCUUAGCGGCGGACGGGUGAGUAAUGCUUAGGAAUCUGCCUAUUAGUGGGGGACAACAUUCCGAAAGGAAUGCUAAUACCGCAUACGUCCUACGGGAGAAAGCAGGGGAUCUUCGGACCUUGCGCUAAUAGAUGAGCCUAAGUCGGAUUAGCUAGUUGGUGGGGUAAAGGCCUACCAAGGCGACGAUCUGUAGCGGGUCUGAGAGGAUGAUCCGCCACACUGGGACUGAGACACGGCCCAGACUCCUACGGGAGGCAGCAGUGGGGAAUAUUGGACAAUGGGGGGAACCCUGAUCCAGCCAUGCCGCGUGUGUGAAGAAGGCCUUAUGGUUGUAAAGCACCUUAAGCGAGGAGGAGGCUACUGAGAUUAAUACUCUUGGAUAGUGGACGUUACUCGCAGAAUAAGCACCGGCUAACUCUGUGCCAGCAGCCGCAGUAACAC